UUGCGCGCACGUGCUGGUUGCUGGUUGCCGGUUUGUCACGUAUAUACACAUCGCGGUGCGCGCGCAGGUAAAAGAUACACGCGCGCGCGCACGCGCACCACCGACAGACGCGUAUAUCCACUAAAUGCUGAGCGCGACUGCGUCAGAUUCGGCGGAACGGUACAGCAAACCACCCCGCGGGCAGGGCUGAACGCGUGCAGAAGGACAACAAACGGAAAAGGAGCGAGAAACGUUUAUACGGUUAGGCCGCCGUCGCUCUACACACACACACACACACACACACACACACACACACACACACACACACACAUGCGGUGAUGGUGUCGCCAGAAGUCUUUUCUCGGUGUGCGUUUGCGCCCGCACCACCGUCACACCACCGGUGGCGGCGUGUGAACGUAAUAAUAAUAAUAAUAACGGGUAUAUACGCGUGUGUUUGGUUGUGGGGAAGCCGUAUGUUGGGGGUGGCGAGGGGGUUGUUCGAAGCGCGCGCGGCCGGCUGACGCGUGGGUAGCCGCCGCCACAGACGCCGACGCCGGCGGCCGACACAGGCGCGCGUGGCUCGGGCGACAGUGGCGGUGUUCGCGCGCACCGCCAGUGGAAUCAAUACCGCCGCCGCGGCCAAUCCAUCGGUUUUCGACCGCACGGCGCCGAGGCGCCGUCGACACGUCGCACCGCCACCGCCACCACCACCGCCACCACCACCACCACUCACCCGGUGAGCGUGUUCAGAAAAAUAUCCUACUCCAGACGUUAAAAUUAAAAAUAUAGGUUGCGAUUUAAAAAUCAAGAGUUUGUAUUUGUAUGGAUUAACAAACGUCCGACAAACACAAGAUUGAAAAAAUAAACGCGAUAUGAAAUAUUAGAGUUGCAUUUAAAAAUAUUACCUGCAUGAUAUGGAAGUUCUGGUAAAUUGUACAUCGUGCGAGCUUUAGUUGCAGUUUCAUAAUAUUUAUGUUUGUCUCUGAUAUUUAAAUGUUUCCACAUAUAGUUGAGUCU